GCAGCCCUCCCAUUACUCUGUCUACUCUCACGUUUGUUCCCCUUUCCCCCGAACCUCUCUCCGCUCUCUCARCUGGGCUCCAAACGGCCCAACUUUUCCAUCCUGUCUUCCUAAACUSCACCACCUAUCCUUCCAAGAAGUACCACCGUGGUAUUGACCUCCUCCUGGUUCUGCUUCUGAAGAAUUUAAACUCAAACCUUUUACUCUAAAUAUGGAAAUGGAGAAGAUCACAAAUGGGAUGAACCUCGACGGGGCAAUGGAGACAGGAAUACCACCAGAGGAAGAAAAGUUCCUGCAGCACAAAGACAAUGAU